rnacentral:rRNA from 1 species
AGAGUUUGAUUCUGGCUCAGAACGAACGCUGGCGGCGUGGAUAAGACAUGCAAGUUGAGCGAUGAACUGACGAUAGCAAUAUCUGACGGGAUUAGCAGCGAACGGGUGAGUAACACGUAGGAAUCUGCCCCAAAGUUCGGAAUAGCCUGGUGAAAGCCAGGGUAAUACCGGAUGUGAUCUUCGGAUUAAAGGCUUCGGUCGCUUUGGGAUGAGCCUGCGCUCCAUCAGCUUGUUGGUAGGGUAAAAGCCUACCAAGGCAAAGACGGAUAGCUGGUCUGAGAGGACGGUCAGCCACAAUGGAACUGAGACACGGUCCAUACACCUACGGGUGGCAGCAGUCGAGAAUCAUUCGCAAUGGACGAAAGUCUGACGGUGCGACGCCGCGUGGGGGAUGAAGGCCUUAGGGUCGUAAACCCCUGUCGGGUGCGAGUAAGGGUAUACAUUACGGCAUACUCAGAUAUUAGCAUCAAAGGAAGGGACGGCUAACUCCGUGCCAGCAGCCGCGGUAAUACGGAGGUCCCAAGCGUUGUUCGGAUUCACUGGGCGUAAAGCGUGCGUAGGCGGAGAGAUAAGUUUGGCGUGAAAGCCCCGGGCCCAACCCGGAAAUUGCGCUGAAAACUAUCUCCCUAGAGGAUUGGAGAGGAGACUGGAAUUCCUGGUGUAGCAGUGAAAUGCGUAGAUAUCAGGAGGAACACCGGUGGCGAAGGCGAGUCUCUGGACAAUUCCUGACGCUGAGGUACGAAGGCUAGGGUAGCGAAAAGGAUUAGAUACCCUUGUAGUCCUAGCAGUAAACGGUGUGCACUUGCUG